UCGCAGCCCUCGAUCCCCUUUCCUCCCCCCUCGCUAGGUUUCCUCCAGGCCGCCGCCGGUCCCUUGUGCGCAGCUCCUCGGCGCGGCUCCCUCCGGCGACAUGGCGCGCGGGUAGGGUCCCUCCUCCUCCGCUGCUCCUCCCGCUGGCGUGACCCGCCCCCGCCCCGGUCUCCAGCAGCAGCAACAGGCCCGGCCGGCACUGUACUCCGGCGGACGCCACCAAACUCCGGCCGGCCCUCACUGCGGACGGAUCCAUCAGCUCGUCUAGCAAGCCAGGCGGUCACGCGCAGCGGCACACCGGGGACGAUGAAGCCCGGCUCCCGCAAGCGCCGCGCCUCGUCGCCUGCGCCGUCGGCUCCCGUCACGCUGCCGCCGCCGGGCUUCGUGGCGGACAGGGAGGAGGCGGCGGCCCGCGUGGAGCGGCUCCUCCAGUACCAGUUCAACAAGCGCUCCCUGCUCGAGGAGGCGCUCACCCACCAGUCCUUCGCCGGCGGCGGCGCCGCCUCGUACCAGAGGCUCGAGUUCGUCGGGGACGCGGCGCUCGGCCUCGCCUUCUCCAACUUCCUCUACCUCACCAACCCCACCGUCGGCCCCGGCGCGCUCUCCACGCUCCGGGCCGCCAACAUCUCCACCGAGAAGCUGGCCCGCGUCGCCGUGCACCACGACCUCUACCCGCUGCUCCGACGCAACUGCCCUCGUCUCGAUCUCUUGGUAGGACAGUUUAUCCAGUCAGUGAAACAAGAGUUACAGGAUGACCUUGGCACUACGCCCUAUGGUGGCACUGUAUUUAAGGCUCCCAAGGUGCUUGCUGAUAUUGUUGAGGCCAUUGCCGCUGCUGUCUAUGUGGAUUGCAACUUUAAUCUUGAGAAGCUCUGGAAGGUAACAAGGUUCCUCUUUGAGCCCAUUGUCACGGCAGAAACAAUAGAUGAGCAACCCGUGUCUACGUUGCAUGAGCUGUGCCAGAAACAUGGGAAAGAUAUAAAAUUCAAGACUUGGCAGAAGGGUGGAACAACGGUUGUAAAUGUAUUUGUUGGUGGGGCACUUGUUGGGAUGGGCUCCUCAGAGCAGAUGGUAAUUGCUAAGCUCAAUGCCACACGGGAUGCAUUAAGCAAGCUUCUUGGUGGAGGCAAUCAACAAGUGUUGACAAUUGGAGUUGGCCAUGGAUCAGAGGUUGAGGUUGGAGAGCUUAGGGAAUGCAAGCAGAAGCUUAUUGAGCAGUGCAGCAGGAAGCAUUGGCCAAAACCCAUCUUUAAGUUAGAGAAGGAAGAAGGCCCGGCACAUGAUAGGACAUUUGUUUACUCCGUUCAGGUAGAAACCCAAGGUGGUAUUUGGGUAACUUUAAGUGAUAAGAUGUCAAGGGUAAAGGAUGCGGAGAACUCUGGCGCGCAGAAGAUGUUGGAACAUCUAUUGAAAUUGGAUCCAUGCACUUGAAUUCUGACGCAUCCUGGUGGUGACUACAAGGAGUAGGAAGGAGAUCCUAGAAGCCUACAUCGUGGUGGUGACUCUUAGCAUGUAGGUGGGAGAUGAGCUCAAGAGAAUAGAAGGAAACGGUGGUGAAGGGAGAACCAAAGAGGUGAAUGAGGAUGAAAAAGAUGCACCGGAUUUUCUGAUGCGGGUUCAUCCUGUCCAUGCCGAUGAAAUCAUAUAGUUUAAAAAGCGCUGUUAUGAGAUUUUCGUCGCAAAAAAGAGCAUUGGGACAGAAGUUAGCCUUCCUAUUUAUCGGUGUAGCACUCCGAUGGUCAGAUGCAGUUGUAUACUCGUCAGUUUUUUUUAGCCAAACAGAUACUUUAAAGCCAUGUAUAUCGGUGUAGAAUCCAGUGUUAAGACUGAAAAUUUGUUUAUAAGCUUGAAAUAGCAUGUCCAUCUCGAUAGUAAUGACAUGGGCUUCUUUUACAUAAAUAUCACGUAGAAAGUUGUAAGGAUGAGAAAUAAAUUUCCAUGUAAAUAAAAUAAAAUCAGAAAGUAACUAUGAAUAAAUUAGUUAAAUUAACAAACUAUACAUAUACUAUGAUUAGGAGAUGGUAUAAUAUUUGCCCACAACCAUAGGAUUGAUGGUUAUGAAAUUUAAAUAUAUUUUUUGGUGAGCUUAGGUCAAACGAACCUCAUCCUAACUCAUGUUUUCUUAUAUUGGUAUAGAUUUGCUUAGUCCGUUCAAGAAAUUCUCUGGUUUGUGGUUGUUGAACUGUGCUUUUUCAACAGUUGCUUUUAUAAACACUCUAGGAAAACCUUAGAAGAUGCAAUUUUCUUCUGUUAAACAAGCAGCGAAAUUGGCAACCCGAGUUAUCACAACCCGCUCAGGUCAUUUUCGAUUCAGUGAUUCACACAAUAACAAACAAAAUAUAGGCCUUCGUUCGCGGUCAAUGAACUAUGUCGUGACGAGCUAUGUUUAUGAUAUACGGAAAUUUAGCCACAUUUUAGGACAGUAAAACUGAGCAGCUUUCCAACCAUCUAACGCCCUGCGCGUUUCUGGACAUCCAUUUUCGUGACUUGGGCAACCUUGAAUGUUGUCUGUUGUCUACUCUGGCUUUCACCAUACAUUCUGAUUCCUGGGCCAAAAAGUCCUAGAGGGCUGCUUUUCCGGAGGAAAAUUUGAAGCCCUAUGGUAAACUAGGCUGAGAGAGAGAGGGAGAAAGGAGGGAGGGGGGGAGAGGAGGAGAAGGAGAGGGAGAGGGAGAGAGAUGGGGGUGGGGAGCGAGCUGACGCGGACGGUCUCUGCUAGAGAGAGGAGGUGAUGUAUCGAUCGGUCCCACGGUUUAGGGCAAGGAGAGCCUGCGCGGGAGAUGUAGGCCGACACCAUGGCUGUUUGGCUGAGCACAACUGCCCCGCUGGGAUUUGAAGAAGCCAUCAUCCUUCAGUUUCUCUGCAGGCAUUCAUGGCAGGUGAUGUGCCCAUCCUUCCGUUGACUCGUUACAGGUGAUGUUCAUACUGGUUGUGGUCAAUUUAUUUCGGCAGAUCUUGGAGGUCAACUGAUAAUUUCCGAUGGCCUCUGGACAGAAUAGUGGAGAGGGAGCAGGCUUUGGAAGCUUGUGUAUUUGUUGGGAUUAAGGUUUUGAUCAUCCAAGAGGUUGAGAAGCUGCUACAGUCAAUUGAUGGAGCCAUAGCCAGUCAGAUGAACAUCCUCGUCCUCACAACUCCGGGCGGUUGCUAUUUUGGCAGCGUGGACUCCGUGCAGAUGCGAUCGUCUUGCCUGCAAGAGGAGAGGACAUGUUUUCAUCUACAGUGGACUCACAGCCCAGUGCGCGUAUGGCUCAUUACUAUGUUGUUCUUCCUGUGUGUAUGUAACAUCGAUCGUGUGGUUGGCUACUGGAAUUCAAUCAACAGCUGUGGUCAGCGUUAGCGAGAUCAGGGUGCCAGCAUGGCUACUUACAGUUUAAGAAGCUUUGUUCGCAAUGACAGUGAGAGGUUUCCAUUUUCU